UCCUCCAUCCCCCAAACCCCCUUCAAGUCUCUCCACCAACUGGAAUCCUUAGCAUUACUCCUUUGUUCUUGCAAAUUUCUCCAGCCUCCGUAUUUAGAUUCAAGAAUUUCUUUCCACAGACCAUCCUUCUCAGUCUCCAGACGCCAAAUCCACUUUCCCAGCAGUGCCGCAUUGAAAAGUCUUAAAUUCAAAAUUCCAAG
rnacentral:lncRNA from 1 species